CCUACGGGAGGCAGCAGUGAGGAAUAUUGGUCAAUGGACGAGAGCCUGAACCAGCCAAGUCGCGUGAAGGAUGACUGCCCUAUGGGUUGUAAACUUCUUUUAUAUGGGAAUAAAAUGUUCCACGUGUGGGAUUUUGUAUGUACCAUAUGAAUAAGGAUCGGCUAACUCCGUGCCAGCAGCCGCGGUAAUACGGAGGAUCCGAGCGUUAUCCGGAUUUAUUGGGUUUAAAGGGAGCAUAGGUGGAUUGUUAAGUCAGUUGUGAAAGUUUGCGGCUCAACCGUAAAAUUGCAGUUGAAACUGGCAGUCUUGAGUACAGUAGAGGUGGGCGGAAUUCGUGGUGUAGCGGUGAAAUGCUUAGAUAUCACGAAGAACUCCGAUUGCGAAGGCAGCUCACUGGACUGCAACUGACACUGAGGCUCGAAAGUGUGGGUAUCAAACAGGAUUAGAUACCCUGGUAGUC
rnacentral:rRNA from 1 species